UGACCUUAGCCAACUCCGAACUGCCGGUAAGUGAGAGCGCGGCAGUGAGACGUGUUGGGGAGUAAGGACUCCAUGGUCGAGAGGGAAACGAGCCCACGAGCAUCGACUAAGGCCCCUAAGCGUACGCUAAGUGGGAAAGGAUGUGGAGUCGCACAGACAACCAGGAGGUUGGCUUAGAAGCAGCCACCCUUGAAAGAGUGCGUAAUAGCUCACUGGUCUAGUGAUUCCGCGCCGACAAUGUAGCGGGGCUCAAGCGUACCGCCGAAGUCGUGUCAUUGCAGCAAUACGGCCAACGCCGGCUGUGAUGGGUAGGGGAGCGUCGUGUGCCGGGUGAAGCAGCACCGGAAGGUAGUUGUGGACGGUUCACGAGUGAGAAUG
rnacentral:ncRNA from 1 species